rnacentral:rRNA from 1 species
CGGUUCACUUUAACACUGAGGCGUGACGACGAGGCACUACGGUGCUGAAGCAACAAAUGCCCUGCUUCCAGGAAAAGCCUCUAAGCAUCAGGUAACAUCAAAUCGUACCCCAAACCGACACAGGUGGUCAGGUAGAGAAUACCAAGGCGCUUGAGAGAACUCGGGUGAAGGAACUAGGCAAAAUGGUGCCGUAACUUCGGGAGAAGGCACGCUGACACGUAGGUGAAGUGAUUUACUCAUGGAGCUGAAGUCAGUCGAAGAUACCAGCUGGCUGCAACUGUUUAUUAAAAACACAGCACUGUGCAAACACGAAAGUGGACGUAUACGGUGUGACGCCUGCCCGGUGCCGGAAGGUUAAUUGAUGGGGUCAGCGCAAGCGAAGCUCCUGAUCGAAGCCCCGGUAAACGGCGGCCGUAACUAUAACGGUCCUAAGGUAGCGAAAUUCCUUGUCGGGUAAGUUCCGACCUGCACGAAUGGCGUAAUGAUGGCCAGGCUGUCUCCACCCGAGACUCAGUGAAAUUGAACUCGCUGUGAAGAUGCAGUGUACCCGCGGCAAGACGGAAAGACCCCGUGAACCUUUACUAUAGCUUGACACUGAACAUUGAGCCUUGAUGUGUAGGAUAGGUGGGAGGCUUUGAAGCGUGGACGCCAGUCUGCGUGGAGCCGACCUUGAAAUACCACCCUUUAAUGUUUGAUGUUCUAACGUGGACCCGUUACCCGGGUUGCGGACAGUGUCUGGUGGGUAGUUUGACUGGGGCGGUCUCCUCCUAAAGAGUAACGGAGGAGCACGAAGGUUGGCUAAUCCUGGUCGGACAUCAGGAGGUUAGUGCAAUGGCAUAAGCCAGCUUGACUGCGAGCGUGACGGCGCGAGCAGGUGCGAAAGCAGGUCAUAGUGAUCCGGUGGUUCUGAAUGGAAGGGCCAUCGCUCAACGGAUAAAAGGUACUCCGGGGAUAACAGGCUGAUACCGCCCAAGAGUUCAUAUCGACGGCGGUGUUUGGCACCUCGAUGUCGGCUCAUCACAUCCUGGGGCUGAAGUAGGUCCCAAGGGUAUGGCUGUUCGCCAUUUAAAGUGGUACGCGAGCUGGGUUUAGAACGUCGUGAGACAGUUCGGUCCCUAUCUGCCGUGGGCGCUGGAGAACUGAGGGGGGCUGCUCCUAGUACGAGAGGACCGGAGUGGACGCAUCACUGGUGUUCGGGUUGUCAUGCCAAUGGCACUGCCCGGUAGCUAAAUGCGGAAGAGAUAAGUGCUGAAAGCAUCUAAGCACGAAACUUGCCCCGA